rnacentral:ribozyme from 12 species
AAAAAAAAAAGGAAAAACAACGGAUGACUACGCCUACAAUAGAGCUGUUCCUAUUGAUUUCAGUACGGUGCAGCCGUACUAUUUUUCCUCCUACUUUUUUUUUUUUUUUUU